AACGAACGCUGGCGGCAUGCCUAACACAUGCAAGUCGAACGAGACCUUCGGGUCUAGUGGCGCACGGGUGCGUAAUGCGUGGGAAUCUGCCCUUGGGUUCGGGAUAACAGUUGGAAACGACUGCUAAUACCGGAUGAUGACUUCGGUCCAAAGAUUUAUCGCCCAGGGAUGAGCCCGCGUCGGAUUAGCUAGUUGGUGAGGUAAGAGCUCACCAAGGCGACGAUCCGUAGCUGGUCUGAGAGGAUGAUCAGCCACACUGGGACUGAGACACGGCCCAGACUCCUACGGGAGGCAGCAGUGGGGAAUAUUGGACAAUGGGCGAAAGCCUGAUCCAGCAAUGCCGCGUGAGUGAUGAAGGCCUUAGGGUUGUAAAGCUCUUUUAACCGGGAUGAUAAUGACAGUACCGGGAGAAUAAGCCCCGGCUAACUCCGUG
rnacentral:rRNA from 1 species